rnacentral:rRNA from 1 species
UACGUAGGGUGCAAGCGUUAAUCGGAAUUACUGGGCGUAAAGCGUGCGCAGGCGGUGAUGUAAGACAGAUGUGAAAUCCCCGGGCUCAACCUGGGAACUGCAUUUGUGACUGCAUCGCUGGAGUUCGGCAGAGGGGGAUGGAAUUCCGCGUGUAGCAGUGAAAUGCGUAGAUAUGCGGAGGAACACCGAUGGCGAAGGCAAUCCCCUGGGCCUGCACUGACGCUCAUGCACGAAAGCGUGGGGAGCAAACAGG